rnacentral:rRNA from 1 species
AGCGAACGCUGGCGGCAGGCUUAACACAUGCAAGUCGAGCGGGCGUAGCAAUACGUCAGCGGCAGCCGGGUGAGUAACGCGGGGGAACGCACCUUUUGGUUCGGAACAACACAGGGAAACUUGUGCUAAUACCGGAUAAGACCUCACGGGGCAAGGUUUAUCGCCAGAGGAUCGGCCCGCGCCUGAUUAGCUAGUUGGUGAGGGAACGGCACACCAAGGUGGCGAUGAGUAGCUGGGCUGAGAGGAUGAUCAGCCACGUUGGGGCUGAGACACAGCCCAAACUCGGAGGCAACGGUGGAGAAGAUAAUAUAAUGCGAUGGGGCCAGCCCUGAUCCCGCCAUGCCGGGGAAGUGAUGAAGGCCGUAGGGAUGUGAUGCUGUCUUGUACGAGGAGAGAAUGACGGUACCGGAAGAAUAAGCCCCGGCUAACUACGUG